rnacentral:rRNA from 1 species
CCCUUAGAUGUUCUGGGCCGCACGCGCGCUACACUGAUUCAUGCAACAAGUUUUGUCCUUGGCUGAUAGGCCUGGGUAAUCUUUGAACGUGAAUCGUGAUGGGGAUAGAUGAUUGCAAUUAUUCAUCUUCAACGAGGAAUUCCUAGUAAACGCAAGUCAUCAGCUUGCAUUGAUUACGUCCCUGCCCUUUGUACACACCGCCCGUCGCACCUCCGAUUGAAUGGUCCGGUGAAAUCUUCGGAUCUGAGAGAUGUCUGAUUAAUUUCGGACGCCUUUUGGAAAAGUUGUUUAAACCUUACCAUUUAGAGGAAGGUGAAGUCGUAACA